UACGUAGGUGGCAAGCGUUAUCCGGAAUUAUUGGGCGUAAAGCGCGCGCAGGCGGUCUUUUAAGUCUGAUGUGAAAGCCCACGGCUCAACCGUGGAGGGUCAUUGGAAACUGGGAGACUUGAGUGCAGAAGAGAAGAGUGGAAUUCCACGUGUAGCGGUGAAAUGCGUAGAGAUGUGGAGGAACACCAGUGGCGAAGGCGACUCUUUGGUCUGUAACUGACGCUGAGGCGCGAAAGCGUGGGGAGCAAACAGG
rnacentral:rRNA from 1 species